GACGAACGCUGGCGGCGUGCCUAAUACAUGCAAGUAGAACGCUGAAGGAGGAGCUUGCUUCUCUGGAUGAGUUGCGAACGGGUGAGUAACGCGUAGGUAACCUGCCUGGUAGCGGGGGAUAACUAUUGGAAACGAUAGCUAAUACCGCAUAAGAGUAGAUGUUGCAUGACAUUUGCUUAAAAGGUGCAAUUGCAUCACUACCAGAUGGACCUGCGUUGUAUUAGCUAGUUGGUGGGGUAACGGCUUACCAAGGCGACGAUACAUAGCCGACCUGAGAGGGUGAUCGGCCACACUGGGACUGAGACACGGCCCAGACGCCUACGGGAGGCAGCAGUAGGGAAUCUUCGGCAAUGGACGGAAGUCUGACCGAGCAACGCCGCGGGAGUGAAGAAGGUUUUCGGAUCGUAAAGCUCUGUUGUAAGAGAAGAACGAGUGUGAGAGUGGAAAGUUCACACUGUGACGGUAGCUUACCAGAAAGGGACGGCUAACUACGUG
rnacentral:rRNA from 1 species